UAGGGAAUCUUCCGCAAUGGGCGAAAGCCUGACGGAGCAACGCCGCGUGAGUGAUGAAGGUUUUCGGAUCGUAAAACUCUGUUAUUAGGGAAGAACAUAUGUGUAAGUAACUGUGCACAUCUUGACGGUACCUAAUCAGAAAGCCACGGCUAACUACGUGCCAGCAGCCGCGGUAAUACGUAGGUGGCAAGCGUUAUCCGGAAUUAUUGGGCGUAAAGCGCGCGUAGGCGGUUUUUUAAGUCUGAUGUGAAAGCCCACGGCUCAACCGUGGAGGGUCAUUGGAAACUGGAAAACUUGAGUGCAGAGGAGGAAAGUGGAAUUCCAUGUGUAGCGGUGAAAUGCGCAGAGAUAUGGAGGAACACCAGUGGCGAAGGCGACUUUCUGGUCUGUAACUGACGCUGAUGUGCGAAAGCGUGGGGAUCAAACAGGAUUAGAUACCCUGGUAGUCCACGCCGUAAACGAUGAGUGCUAAGUGUUAGGGGGUUUCCGCCCCUUAGUGCUGCAGCUAACGCAUUAAGCACUCCGCCUGGGGAGUACGACCGCAAGGUUG
rnacentral:rRNA from 1 species